CCUGGUGGCUCAGAUGGUAAAGCGUCUGCCUACAAUGUGGGAGACCCAGGUUCAAUUCCUGGGUCAGGA
rnacentral:tRNA from 1 species